rnacentral:rRNA from 1 species
AGCAGCCGCGGUAAUUCCAGCUCCAAUAGCGUAUAUUAAAGUUGUUGCAGUUAGAAAGCUCGUAGUUGAAUUUCGGGAUUGGCGCAUCGGUCGUGCCUUACGGGGUAUGAACUGGUGCAGUCAAUUUCUCACCUUCUGGAGAACCGCGAUGUCCUUAAUUGGGUGCCGCGGGGAACCAGGACCUUUACUUUGAAAAAAUUAGAGUGUUUAAAGCAGGCAUUUUUGCUUGAAUACAUUAGCAUGGAAUAAUAAAAUAGGACGGCAUGGUUCUAUUUUGUUGGUUUCUAGGACCACCGUAAUGAUUAAUAGGGAUAGUUGGGGGCAUUAGUAUUCAAUUGUCAGAGGUGAAAUUCUUGGAUUUAUUGAAGACUAACUACUGCGAAAGCAUUUGCCAAGGAUGUUUUCAUUAAUCAAGAACGAAAGUUAGGGAUCGAAGACGAUCAGAUACCGUCGUAGUCUUAACCAUAAACUAUGCCGACUAGGAAUCAGACGAUGUUAAUUUUUAAUGUACUCGUUUGGC